CGUGGCGGACGGGUGAGUAACGCGUGGGUAACCUGCCUCAUACAGGGGGAUAACGGUUAGAAAUGACUGCUAAUACCGCAUAAGCGCACAGUACCACAUGGUACGGUGUGAAAAACUACCGGUGGUAUGAGAUGGACCCGCGUCUGAUUAGCUGGUUGGUGGGGUAACGGCCCACCAAGGCGACGAUCAGUAGCCGACCUGAGAGGGUGACCGGCCACAUUGGGACUGAGACACGGCCCAG
rnacentral:rRNA from 1 species